rnacentral:rRNA from 1 species
CCUACGGGAGGCAGCAGUAGGGAAUUUUCCACAAUGGGCGAAAGCCUGAUGGAGCAAUACCGCGUGCAGGAUGAAGGCCUUCGGGUCGUAAACUGCUUUUAUGUGCGAAGAAUUUGACGGUAACACAUGAAUAAGGAUCGGCUAACUACGUGCCAGCAGCCGCGGUCAUACGUAGGAUCCAAGCGUUAUCCGGAAUUACUGGGCGUAAAGAGUUGCGUAGGUGGCAUUAUAAGUGGAGCGUGAAAGCGUGCGGCUCAACCGCAUUAUUGCGUUCCAAACUGUGAAGCUUGAGUAUGGGAGAGGUAGAUGGAAUUUCUAGUGUAGGAGUGAAAUCCGUAGAUAUUAGAAGGAACACCGAUGGCGUAGGCAGUCUACUGGCCCAUUACUGACACUAAGGCACGAAAGCGUGGGGAGCAAACGGGAUUAGAUACCCCGGUAGUCCACGCUGUAAACUAUGGAUGCUAGCUGUGACACACAUCGACCUGUGUCGUAGCGAAGUUAACGCGUUAAGCAUCCCGCUGGGGAGUACGGUCGCAAGNUUAAAACGCAAAGGAUUGACGG